rnacentral:rRNA from 1 species
GGUUAAUAUUCCCGUACUUGGUGUUACUGCGAAGGGGGGACGGAGAAGGCUAUGUUGGCCGGGCGACGGUUGUCCCGGUUUAAGCGUGUAGGUGUGUGUUCCAGGUAAAUCCGGUUCACUUUAACACUGAGGCGUGACGACGAGGCACUACGGUGCUGAAGCAACAAAUGCCCUGCUUCCAGGAAAAGCCUCUAAGCAUCAGGUAACAUCAAAUCGUACCCCAAACCGACACAGGUGGUCAGGUAGAGAAUACCAAGGCGCUUGAGAGAACUCGGGUGAAGGAACUAGGCAAAAUGGUGCCGUAACUUCGGGAGAAGGCACGCUGACACGUAGGUGAAGUGAUUUACUCAUGGAGCUGAAGUCAGUCGAAGAUACCAGCUGGCUGCAACUGUUUAUUAAAAACACAGCACUGUGCAAACACGAAAGUGGACGUAUACGGUGUGACGCCUGCCCGGUGCCGGAAGGUUAAUUGAUGGGGUCAGCGCAAGCGAAGCUCCUGAUCGAAGCCCCGGUAAACGGCGGCCGUAACUAUAACGGUCCUAAGGUAGCGAAAUUCCUUGUCGGGUAAGUUCCGACCUGCACGAAUGGCGUAAUGAUGGCCAGGCUGUCUCCACCCGAGACUCAGUGAAAUUGAACUCGCUGUGAAGAUGCAGUGUACCCGCGGCAAGACGGAAAGACCCCGUGAACCUUUACUAUAGCUUGACACUGAACAUUGAGCCUUGAUGUGUAGGAUAGGUGGGAGGCUUUGAAGCGUGGACGCCAGUCUGCGUGGAGCCGACCUUGAAAUACCACCCUUUAAUGUUUGAUGUUCUAACGUGGACCCGUGAUCCGGGUUGCGGACAGUGUCUGGUGGGUAGUUUGACUGGGGCGGUCUCCUCCUAAAGAGUAACGGAGGAGCACGAAGGUUGGCUAAUCCUGGUCGGACAUCAGGAGGUUAGUGCAAUGGCAUAAGCCAGCUUGACUGCGAGCGUGACGGCGCGAGCAGGUGCGAAAGCAGGUCAUAGUGAUCCGGUGGUUCUGAAUGGAAGGGCCAUCGCUCAACGGAUAAAAGGUACUCCGGGGAUAACAGGCUGAUACCGCCCAAGAGUUCAUAUCGACGGCGGUGUUUGGCACCUCGAUGUCGGCUCAUCACAUCCUGGGGCUGAAGUAGGUCCCAAGGGUAUGGCUGUUCGCCAUUUAAAGUGGUACGCGAGCUGGGUUUAGAACGUCGUGAGACAGUUCGGUCCCUAUCUGCCGUGGGCGCUGGAGAACUGAGGGGGGCUGCUCCUAGUACGAGAGGACCGGAGUGGACGCAUCACUGGUGUUCGGGUUGUCAUGCCAAUGGCACUGCCCGGUAGCUAAAUGCGGAAGAGAUAAGUGCUGAAAGCAUCUAAGCACGAAACUUGCCCCGAG